UACGUAGGGGGCAAGCGUUAUCCGGAUUUACUGGGUGUAAAGGGAGCGUAGACGGUAUGGCAAGUCUGAAGUGAAGGCCCAGGGCUUAACCCUGGGACUGCUUUGGAAACUGUUAGACUAGAGUGCUGGAGAGGUAAGUGGAAUUCCUAGUGUAGCGGUGAAAUGCGUAGAUAUUAGGAGGAACACCAGUGGCGAAGGCGGCUUACUGGACAGUAACUGACGUUGAGGCUCGAAAGCGUGGGGAGCAAACAGG
rnacentral:rRNA from 1 species